AGCCCCGAGGUGUUUCACGUCAAAAUGCAAAUUUGAAGACGAGCCCAGAAGGGCU
rnacentral:tRNA from 1 species